rfam:Neotoma lepida isolate 417 scaffold_35887, whole genome shotgun sequence.
GAAUUUACCGUGCAGGGGAGAUACUAUGCUCACAAAGGUGGUUUUCCCAAUGCAAGACUCAUUCAUCACACUCUGGAUGUGCUGACCCCUGUGAUUUCCCCAAAUGUGGAAAAUUGGCUGCAUAAUCUGUGGCAGUGAGGGGGGCUGUGUUUAAGAUUCCCUCA